CUUCCUCAUUUAAAAUGGUAAAUAUAACUUCGCGUUUUCUUAGAAAAGACAACAUCUACGUCUUAAGAGCACGCAUUUUAUGCUAUCCUCGAGUUCGAGCGAUGUGUUUCAGAAAAUGAGGAGUGGAUUUUUUCGCUACAGAUGAAGGAAAGUUUAGAGAUAUAAGAAAAGAAGCGACACGUGCAUUUGAAGUUUUUUUUCUCGCUACUUACCGACUUUGUAGAAGCCUGGAAUGAUUUUAUCAAAGUUUGGAAUCUGUGAGGAAGAAUUCAGAUCUUCUGUUUUUAACUUAGUUACAGUAGAAAAGGCGGGAAAAGUCACGCGUUCUUCUGCUGGUGUCCAGUCCAUAUCUGUGUCUUCCUGAAAAGAAGCCACGCCUGCUCCCCUGGGACGGAAGUGCUUACUAAAUUUGUGUUUCUCUCAUGCUCAAACAACACCCCUGUAGCCAGCCGGAUAACUUAUAAUGGAUAAAAUAGUGAAGUAUAAACCCUUGCGUGGAACGAAACAGCGGGGACGAGUUGGAAACCUUUUUUUAAAAAAAAAACAAACGCUUGACCGCGAGGCGAGCCUCCAUAAAACAGUUGUAGGUGAUUGCAUUACAGGUCGCUAAUGGCUGGCCAUCCUCGUCAAAAUGCAUUUUCAUUGCAGUUAUAAAGUAUUUUUCCACUGUGGUAAGAAUGUAUCAUUACUGUGAUAAGAUGAUUAUUUUCAGUGUAAAUAUUUUGCCUCCAGAAUAAAUAAUUAAUAAUGAGUGAGCUUGACUAUAGUGUUUGAUUUUUAACUGUUUAAAAAUAAAACACAGUGAAAGUAUUUUCGUUGUUUUGAUGAGGAUGAGAAACCAUAGUGUUGGAAGGUUUGUCCGCGUGCACAUGUUUAAAGGUCCAAUACUAAGGAAAGUGAACAUUUUAAUUUCUUUUAAAAAGCACAGAAACUUAUUCAUUUUAUUGGAAAAUGAAAGUUGGUAUGUAGAAAUUCGAAAUAAAUCGCAGUAUAUGUACAAUUAUUUUUCUAUGAAAUAUGAAGAAAGUUAAAAAGACCUGGGGGUCAUUCUGUCGAUUCAUUGAAAUUUCAAUAUAAUACACAUACAUUUCUUUGAGUUCCAAAGACCUCCUGUAAAUUUUGACCUGCCAAUCUUCAUUAUUUAGUGUCUUGCAGAAGUUUAUGCACUGGCUAUGAAAAAAAAUGCCAACUCACUUUCCCUUAGUAAUGGACCUUUAAGGGAUGCGAGAAGAAGUUUCUACUGUUCAUUAUAACAUAAAAGUUUUUAAAAGUUGUUUGAAGUAACGUGUAUUUGGAAAAAAUCGUAUAAAUAGCGAAUGAUUCUGCAUAUGGGUUUUCGGACUUCGAAAUGCUUUGCGGUGUUUGAAAAACCAACAGCAGUAUCUUACGGAGAUUGCAUGCUGAACAAAGUCGGGUUGACAUGGAGACGGUGCUGUACAAACCUUCUGUCUAAACAUGUACAGGUCUGUAGUGCUUAUUGACUAAAUGUAACUAAAUAUCCACCUUAACACUUUAUCAUAGGUUUAGGUCUUUUGAUCAUAUUCGUUUGAUCACUGCGUCCUAGUUUGAGUAACAUUGUUCCAGGAAUGUUGCUAAGAGUGUUAGUGUUUUAACGGACGAUGGACACCCAACUAUCAGAACAUCCGGUGCUGAAGAAAUUACGCGCACGGCAGUGAAUUUGCAUGCUUGUUUUCUUACUCUUUUCAGUUCAUAAAAUUAUAACACAUAUAUAAAAUAAACAUGUUAUUAACGUGUAUCUUUAACUGAAAGAAAACGACUAGGAAGGUAACCCUAUUAAACAAAUUCAGGUUCAAUAUAGUUUAAAAAUCUAUUGACAUUUGGUUUUAAUGAUACAUGUUGAUAAUGCAAUUUUUAACAAAAAGAUCAAUUUGCACAAAAUUGGUCGACUAGGUGAGACACUCGAGUAGGGCUCCACUUUACAGUCACUCAAUUUAAUUAAUAAUUGAUAUAAAAUGGUUUUGCAAUAGUUACUCAGUUAAAAGUACCGUCUCAUAGAUGGCAGACGGAAAACACCUUUAAAUGCUAGAGACAGUAUUUCAAGAGACGAAAUUUCAUUUUUACUAAAAUGUAAACUAUUUAAUGUAAAUUGAUUUAAGGUAAUCAUUUAUACCAAUUUGCUAUUACUAACAUCAGAACAGACCAAAUAUGCCAAAGUUUAUUGAAAUGUAUAACAUAUAUGGUCGCAGAACACAUGCUUUUGUUAUUAAUGUUUCGUAUAUACAUUGAUCAUUUUGAAUAUAUAGCAAGUCAUGAUCUUACUUUGUGGAGAAAACACAUAAGAGCCGUGCCAUGGGAAAAC